GAGGGUGUAGCUCAGGCGGUAGAGCAACGGACUUUUAAUCCGUAGGUCGCGGGUUCGAGUCCCGCCACCCUCA
rnacentral:tRNA from 1 species